AACAGUUUGCUGGCGUUACCCAGGAAACGCUUGCAACACAGGCAGUUUGAACUGAAAUUCAGUAGAAAAGAGGAAUGUCUGAACGAUAUACGAAUAAUUUACUAGAAAUGUAAUCUUAAGGAGAUGGAAAAUAACAGCGAACAAUAUACCACCCUGAUGUUAGCUGCAGGAACUGGAGGGCUGAUUAUGUUGACGGUGAUAUUACUAAUUUUCAUAUUCUGGGAGUUACUGCUAUCAAAAUCGUGGCUAAAUGAGACUACUAGUGAAUCAUCAUAUAAUUCGACACUGAGUACGAUAAAUGCACCUUCCAACACAGGAAUCAAGAAGGAUUCCAUCUCAGAUAGUACAUCACAAAUAUUUUACAUACCAUCACAAGAAUCACCAGCGCUACACCAGGUAUCAGUAGAAAUGCAUGUAAUCCACGCAGAAGAAACAGCAACAUCGCCUCCUGUGAUUACGCACAUUUAAUUGACAUCCAGCAAGAAUGUUACUCUCAGAGUAUAAUGACCACACUUUGGGACAGGCAGUAAGAUUGGUCCUAAAUCGUUCUCAAGAUCGAUCUACGGGGGACCCAUCCUAGGAUCGACAGCUCGUGGAGCCCAGGAAGCCUCCAACCCCGUAGUCGUACUUUUAGAUGAUCUACUCUGAGAGUGAUUUUGACAUCUCUUUGUUGUCAGAUAAGAAAGCCCUAUGUAGCCUUUAGAAUUUUUCCACGCUGUUUAGUUGUGACCGUGAUGUGAUCGAGUUGGGACCAGUCCUCGUCAGCAACUGACGUCUGUAGUCUCAGCUGUGCACGGGAGAUCUCAUACACCUCGUGUCGGGGAGUGGUGGAUGCCCUAGUGGAAUGGACUGAAGACCACUCCAACCCACGAGCGCGUGAAUUACACCCGGUAUGAGCAAGAUGAGAUUUCUCGUGCACUUGUUAGAAAACACCUGCGCUUGUCUGGUGAUUGUCGGCAGAGGUCUCGUCCCAUCUUAGUUGCAUAAUGUUCGAAAAGGUGUCACGCGCUGUAGCCGACGACAAUUUCUGGCGUUGGCAAAGAGAUCUAUAGCCAGCCAUCCUAGCUGAUAAGAACAAGAUAAUUCUCGAGACGAGGCAUAUCCUGACAGCUAUUGCCCUCCUCCCCAUCAAGAACUAGUGUAUACAUGUGGUCAGUUCUUCCGCAUGACGACGGUCAGCAGAACGCCUACUGGCCCGACUUUUUUUUUGUCACAGUGAGUGGGAACAAUUAAAGCAACUCUGACAGGUGCUUAGUUGGAAGUAAUGAAUCAGACUCUGCCUCCGACGACUACCAAUAUCUUUCUUUUCUUAAAUCUGUGCAAAAUUUGUAUAGGAUUAUUGUGACUGUAAAUAAAAUGUAUAAAUUAU